rnacentral:ncRNA from 1 species
ACGGGAAGCCGGUGAGAAUCCGGCGCGGUCCUCGCCACUGUGACCGGGAAGCGAUCCCCGCCGAGCACGUCACUGGUCCCCGCCGGGACUGGGAAGACGCGGGGGCAGCGUUGAUCCGGAAGUCAGGAGACCG